NNNNNNNNNNNNNNNNNNNNNNNNNNNNNNNNNNNNNNNNNNNNNNNNNNNNNNNNNNCCAUUGUAUAAUGCUCCGAGCGCGCCGGCAGAGGACUGCGGAGUCUUAGCUUGGGUCUCGCCUCCUGCCCGCUCCCCGGCGCCACCCUCGGGCCCCCGGAGCGGGGACUCCGCAUGGAGAGGGAGUAGCUUGAGGAGUGGGCAGAAACCCCUCCUGAUGCGUUAGUUCCCAGGUGGAGCUGCAUGUGCAUUACAACAUCUUAUCAGGCUGUUCCUAAAUCAUUAGGAUUAUCACACAGCUAUGACCAGCUGGAUCAUUCUAAUUGGAAAUUAAGUGCUUCUCACAUUGCAAUCUCUUUGAAAACAUCACCACCGAUCUCCUUCAGCUAUGGGAAUUCUGCUAAAUGCCUAGUACUGCAUGCUUGGUAAAUAUUCGAGUUUUAUCAAUUCAUUGAUAAUUUCUAGAGAAGUAAUCCUUAUUGAGAAAGUUAUUGAGAAAGCCCUAUUGUUUAUUCUGGCAACCAGUAUUUAAAAGACAAUCCUAUAUUGAUGACUAGAAGACAAAGAAAAGCCUACACUGUUUUAGCUAUUCCCUCUCCUCCAGAAAACCAGUAAAAAUUCCAAGUGCUAUUGAGCUUACUAAUUUGUUUUUAGUUGUUUGGUAUUUGAUUUUGGUUUACAUUUAAGGACAGUGCUUCUCAAACUUUUUGUGAUGAAGAACCGUCUUGUUUGUUUUUUCUUUCAUAGAUGAAUACUUAUGUAAAAUAUAAAAAUACUUAAUAGAGAAAUGAAAUUUAAGUACAAAGACAAAAACAGAAGCCUCAUUUUAGAAAUUAGACUUAUAGACAUAUAGUUACUCUGUAAAUAUGCUGUUAAACAUUUCUAAAUAAUAUAGUAUCUCUGUUUAACUCCUCAUGGGCCAGUAACAAUUCACAGAUUGGCACCUUCUGCAGACCACGCUUUGAGCAACACUGUUUGGGAGUAUAUUUCUCUGCAUUUGUGUCGUCUCACACAGAUUUCCAUGUAUUGGGUACUAUUACAUUAUAACCUAUAACACAGACCAUCUACCAGCUUUAUAAUGAGAAUUAAAUGCACUUGGUGAGCUCUUUGGCAAAACUGAAGUUUUCCUAGAAAUGAAUAUUUAAAUGCUUAAAUUUUAGGCAGAUAACAAACAGUAUAACUGUUUGAAAACACAGUCGUCCAGUAACACUUCUAAGGCAUAAAGGAGAAAGUGUUUUGUAAUGUGAAAUGAAAUCACCUCCUCUCUGAUUCACA
rnacentral:lncRNA from 1 species